GGGUUGUGAGGUUAAGCGACUAAGCGUACACGGUGGAUGCCCAGGCAGUCAGAGGCGAUGAAGGACGUGCUAAUCUGCGUAAAGCGACGGUAAGGUGAUAUGAACCGCUACAGCCGUCGAUGUCCGAAUGGGGAAACCCGGUGCACUCUGUGCAUCAUUGCAGCAUGAAUACAUAGUGCUGCAAGGCGAACCGGGGGAACUGAAACAUCUAAGUACCCCGAGGAAAAGAAAUCAACCGAGAUUCCCCCAGUAGCGGCGAGCGAACGGGGAGCAGCCCAGAGCCUGAAUCAGCAUGUGUGUUAGUGGAAGCGUCUGGAAAGUCGCAGGGUACAGGGUGAUACUCCCGUACACAAAAGCGCAUAUGCUGUGAGCUCGAUGAGUAAGGCGGGACACGUGGUAUCCUGUCUGAAUAUGGGGGGACCAUCCUCCAAGGCUAAAUACUCCUGACUGACCGAUAGUGAACCAGUACCGUGAGGGAAAGGCGAAAAG
rnacentral:rRNA from 1 species